CCUACGGGGGGCAGCAGUGGGGAAUAUUGCACAAUGGGGGAAACCCUGAUGCAGCGACGCCGCGUGAGUGAAGAAGGAAUUCGGUAUGUAAAGCUCUAUCAGCAGGGAAGAAAAUGACGGUACCUGAGUAAGAAGCCCCGGCUAACUACGUGCCAGCAGCCGCGGUAAUACGUAGGGGGCAAGCGUUAUCCGGAUUUACUGGGUGUAAAGGGAGCGUAGACGGCAGUGCAAGUCUGGAGGGAAAGGCGGGGGCUCAACCCCCGGAGUGCUCUUGAAACUGUACGGCUGGAGUGCAGGAGAGGUAAGUGGAAUUCGUGGUGUAGCGGUGAAAUGCGUAGAUAUCAGGAAGAACACCAGUUGCGAAGGCAGCUUACUGGACUGUAACUGACGUUGAGGCUCGAAAGCGUGGGGAGCAAACAGGAUUAGAUACCCCGGUAGUC
rnacentral:rRNA from 1 species